rnacentral:rRNA from 1 species
UGCGGUAAUUUGACCGUGCAAAGGUAGCAUAAUCAGUAGUCUUUUAAUUGAAGGCUUGAAUGAACGGUUGGAUGAGAGAAAAGCUGUCUCUUUUAUAGAUUAAAAUUUGACUUUUAAGUGAAAAGGCUUAAAUUUAAUAAAGGGACGAUAAGACCCUAUAAAACUUUAUAAGAGAUUUAUUUUAUUUUUAAAUUUUUUUUAAAAAUUAUAAAGUAUUUCUUUUAUUUUGUUGGGGCGACAUUGAUAUAAGCUGUAACUGUUUGAAUAAAAAUUAUAACUAUCAUUAUUGUUUGAUCCUUCUUUGUGGAUAAAAAGACUAAGUUACUUUAGGGAUAACAGCGUAAUUUUUUUUGAGAGUUCUUAUCGAAGAAAAUAGUUGCGACCUCGAUGUUGAAUUAA